rnacentral:lncRNA from 1 species
GAUGUGGAAGCUCUUUGGAAACCAAGAAACACUCUGAAAAUGAAAAGGGUGGAAGAGUAAACUGUUCCUGUUUCUCCAUCUUGACAGGAAGCAGAAGUUCUCCUUAGCUGAUUUUUCUUCUUGCCUUAUACUGGGUUCUUUAACACCAGAACAAAAAUAAAUAAAUAAAAGAAUCUUCCAGAAAUUCAUGAAGAGACUUCAGGUCAGGAAAGCCUGAACUUUCUCAUCCAACACCCGUUCAAGUCGGAGGAUGCUGAUUAAUUCAUGAUGGAAAGGUAUCAAUUUCACAGCCCAGACCUCUACAUUCUUGAAAUGCUCUUCUCAUGGGAGACAUUAAAUAAGCUUUGAAUUAACUGAAGAACCAAUGAUGUGAUCCCUGGAUACUGGCAAUUGUUGCCCAAGAAAACCUCUCCCCUUGCUGUGGGACUGCUGGGCACCCAAAUAAUGCACCCAAAUAAUUUGAUAGCUCUUGUUACACAGCUCUUCUUGGACUAAAAGGCCCUCAGCAUUCCUGUCAAUUUCUACACUCCUGAAGCUUCAUCUGGAGACCUCUGUGGAUUCUAUAACUCAAAGACCCAGGCUGACGGCUGGUGGAAUAGCUACCAUCUCAAACAUGGCGUGAUGCUGCAUCAGAGAGAAAAAUAAGCUCUUGCAUUGACAAUGAAAUGUCUACCCUGUAGUGACUUGUGCUUACUUCCACUCACAAGUGAUUGCCCAGAGCUACUUACCUGGCUCCAAUCUACCACUGGGUGUGUACUUGCAAUCUACCAUGUACCUAGAAGAUGAGAGAAACAAAUUAUUAAUGAUGACCACACCCCAAUACUAACAACAAUUGCAGAAGAAUCAAUGACUUAAACAAAAAUGUGGCCAUUGAAGGAAUA